rnacentral:SRP_RNA from 1 species
GCCAAGGGCAGUGGUGUGCACCUGUAGUCCCAGCUACUUAGGAGGCUGAGGCAGGAGGAUCACUUGAGAUCAGGAGCUCUGAGCUGUAGUGCACUGUGCCAAUUGGGUGUCUGCACUAAAUUUGGCAUCAAUAUGGUGACCUCCUGGGAGUCAGGGACCACCAGGUUGCCUGAGGGAGGUGUGAACCUACCCAGGUCAGAACUGGAGCAGAUCAAGACUCUCAUGCUGAUCAGUAGUGGGAUCUCACCUGUGAAUAGCCACUGCAUUCCAGCCUGACCAACACAGACUCCAUCUCA